UUCCGGUUGAUCCUGCCGGAGGCCACUGCUAUUGGGAUUCGANUAAGCCAUGCGAGUCGUGAGGGUUCGGCCCUCGGCUGACGGCUCAGUAACACGUGGAUAAUCUGCCCUUAGAUGGAGGAUACCCUCGGGAAACUGAGAAUAAUACUCCAUAGAUCUAGGAUGCUGGAAUGCGCUUAGAUCCAAAGCUUCACGGCGUCUAAGGAUGAGUCUGCGGACUAUCAGGUAGUAGUCAGGGUAACGACCUGACUAGCCUACGACGGAUACGGGUUGUGAGAGCAAUAACCCGGAGAUGAUAUCUGAGACACGAUAUCAGGCCCUACGGGGCGCAGCAGGCGCGAAAACUUCGCACUGUGCGAAAGCACGACGAGGGGAUCCCAAGUGCUGGCUCGUUAGAGUCAGCUGUUUCUCUGUCUAAAAAACAGAGAGAGUAAGGGCUGGGUAAGACGGGUGCCAGCCGCCGCGGUAAUACCUGCAGCCCAAGUGGUGGUCUGUAUUAUUGGGCCUAAAACGUCCGUAGCCGGUUCUGUAAAUGCCUGGGUAAAUCGUGUCGCUUAACGAUACGAAUUCCGGGUAGACUGCAGGACUUGAGAUCGGGAGAAGCUAGAGGUACUCCUGGGGUAGAGGUGAAAUUCUGUAAUCCUAGGGGGACCACCGGUGGCGAAGGCGUCUAGCUAGAACGAGUCUGACGGUCAGGGACGAAGCCCUGGGGCGCAAACGGGAUUAGAUACCCCGGUAGUCCAGGGUGUAAACGCUGCUCGCUUGAUGUUAGCUGGGCUCCGAGCCCAGCUAGUGUCGGAGAGAAGUUGUUAAGCGAGCUGCCUGGGAAGUACGAUCGCAAGACUGAAACUUAAAGGAAUUGGCGGGGGAGCACCGCAACGGGUGGAGCGUGCGGUUUAAUUGGAUUCAACGCCGGA
rnacentral:rRNA from 1 species